UACAGAGGUCCCAAGCGUUGUUCGGAUUCAUUGGGCGUAAAGAGCGCGCAGGCGGUCGUUCAAGUCGGAUGUGAAAGCCCCCGGCUCAACUGGGGAGGGUCAUUCGAUACUGAUCGACUCGAAGGCAGGAGAGGGAAGCGGAAUUCCCGGUGUAGUGGUGAAAUGCGUAGAUAUCGGGAGGAACACCAGUGGCGAAGGCGGCUUCCUGGCCUGUUCUUGACGCUGAGGCGCGAAAGCUAGGGGAGCAAACGGG
rnacentral:rRNA from 1 species